UACGGAGGGCGCGAGCGUUGUCCGGAAUCAUUGGGCGUAAAGGGCGCGUAGGUGGCCCGGUCAGCGUGCGGUGAAAGCUCGGGGCUCAACCCCGAGUCGGCCGUGCGAACUGCUGGGCUUGAGCACUGUAGAGGCAGGCGGAAUUCCGGGUGUAGCGGUGGAAUGCGUAGAGAUCCGGAAGAACACCGGUGGCGAAGGCGGCCUGCUGGGCAGUGGCUGACACUGAGGCGCGACAGCGUGGGGAGCAAACAGG
rnacentral:rRNA from 1 species